rnacentral:rRNA from 1 species
AGUGAACGCUGGCGGUAGGCCUAACACAUGCAAGUCGAACGGCAGCACAGUAAGAGCUUGCUCUUACGGGUGGCGAGUGGCGGACGGGUGAGGAAUACAUCGGAAUCUACUUUUUCGUGGGGGAUAACGUAGGGAAACUUACGCUAAUACCGCAUACGACCUACGGGUGAAAGCAGGGGAUCUUCGGACCUUGCGCGAUUGAAUGAGCCGAUGUCGGAUUAGCUAGUUGGCGGGGUACAGGCCCACCAAGGCGACGAUCCGUAGCUGGUCUGAGAGGAUGAUCAGCCACACUGGAACUGAGACACGGUCCAGACUCCUACGGGAGGCAGCAGUGGGGAAUAUUGGAAAAUGGGCGCAAGCCUGAGCCAGCCAUACCGCGUGGGUGAAGAAGGCCUGCGGGUUGUAAAGCCCUUUUGUUGGGAAAGAAAAGCAGCAGGUUAAUACCCCGCUGUUCGGACGGUACCCAAAGAAUAAGCACCGGCUAACUUCGU